GCCAUGCCGCGUGAGUGAUGAAGGCCUUAGGGUUGUAAAGCUCUUUUCUCCGGGACGAUAAUGACGGUACCGGAGGAAUAAGCCCCGGCUAACUUCGUGCCAGCAGCCGCGGUAAUACGAAAGGUGCAAGCGUUAAUCGGAAUUACUGGGCGUAAAGCGCGCGUAGGCGGUGUGUUAAGUCGGAUGUGAAAGCCCAGGGCUCAACCUUGGAAUUGCAUCCGAUACUGGCACGCUAGAGUGCAGUAGAGGGAGGUGGAAUUUCCGGUGUAGCGGUGAAAUGCGUAG
rnacentral:rRNA from 14 species